GAUGAACGCUGGCGGCGUGCUUAACACAUGCAAGUCGAACGGUGAAGGCGGAGCUUGCUCUGCUGGAUCAGUGGCGAACGGGUGAGUAACACGUGAGCAAUCUGCCCCUGACUCUGGGAUAAGCGCUGGAAACGGCGUCUAAUACUGGAUACGAGCUGCGAAGGCAUCUUCAGCAGCUGGAAAGAAUUUCGGUCAGGGAUGAGCUCGCGGCCUAUCAGCUUGUUGGUGAGGUAAUGGCUCACCAAGGCGUCGACGGGUAGCCGGCCUGAGAGGGUGACCGGCCACACGGGGACUGAGACACGGCCCAGACUCCUACGGGAGGCAGCAGUGGGGAAUAUUGCACGAUGGGCGGAAGCCUGAUGCAGCAACGCCGCGUGAGGGACGACGGCCUUCGGGUUGUAAACCUCUUUUAGCAGGGAAGAAGCGAAAGUGACGGUACCGGCAGAAAAAGCGCCGGCUAACUACGU
rnacentral:rRNA from 1 species